rnacentral:rRNA from 1 species
GAUGAACGCUGGCGGCGUGCCUAAUACAUGUAAGUCGAGCGAACGGACGAGAAGCUUGCUUCUCUGAUGUUAGCGGCGGACGGGUGAGUAACACGUGGAUAACCUACCUAUAAGACUGGGAUAACUUCGGGAAACCGUAGCUAAUACCGGAUAAUAUUUUGAACCGCAUGGUUCAAAAGUGAAAGACGGUCUUGCUGUCACUUAUAGAUGGAUCCGCGCUGCAUUAGCUAGUUGGUAAGGUAACGGCUUACCAAGGCAACGAUGCAUAGCCGACCUGAGAGGGGGGGGGGACACACGGGGAACUGAGACGCGGUCCGGACUCCGGGGGGAGGCAGCAGGAGGGAUUCUCCCGGAGGGGGAAAAGCCCUGAGGGAGCAGCGCCGGGGGGGUGAGGAGGGUCUCGGGACGGAAAAACUGUGUUAUGGGGAAAAAAAAGAUGUGAAAGUAACUGUACACUUCUGGGGGGGCCAUAACAAGAAAGCCAGGGCAAACUACGGC